rnacentral:rRNA from 1 species
CAACUUUCAGCAAUGGAUCUCUUGGCUCUCGC